ensembl:snoRNA
AUCCCUUUGUGGCUCAUAAGCAUGAUUGGUCUUUCUCAACUUUGUAUGAGAUGUGCCUUCCUCAAAUUUUCUAUGACACCAGCACAUUACUCACCUGAUA